UAGUUCAUCAGAUCAUUUUAUUAGUCUUUUUACCUAUUAAUCUAUUCUUCACUUUCUUGCUCAAUGUUAUUAAUGAGCUCUUUUUUACCUAUCAACACUUCAUUUUCAUUAAUGUGUUCUAUUAACCAUAGCCAUCACCCCUUUUCACAUUGUAACAGCAGGUACCUUGAAAUAAUACUCAUCAGCCUUUUAUCUCUAUCUCCAUCUCAUUUCCACCAUGUAUCCAUGUAUGAUAGCACCCUCCUCAUUUCACACCAAGUAUCAAGAUCCUUUAAUAUUCACAAGAUACUGGAGCUGUGGUGGUUAUCGGGUAGUCUUGCUGCAAUAUUGAUCAAGGUGGAUGGAUAUCAUCUGUGAUUGCUGCUGCAGCUAAGCUUCCUGUCUUGGGGGGGGGGGGGAACAGGCCAGUGCACAUAGUGUUUUAAGUACUAACCAUACCCCUCUUACAAGAAAAACGUCACCACAAUCUUGCCACCACCCAGUUGUACCUAAACACUGGGAAGUCUACAACUGAAAGGUCAUAGCACAUCACAUCUUCCAACCAAACUUGCACUCAGAUGGGUAAAUCCCAAUGUAAAACUACAAAUAAGAUGAAGGCCAACAAAUCCCACAAAAAAGCAC